GAUGAACGCUGGCGGCGUGCUUAACACAUGCAAGUCGAACGAAGACAUCUGAGUGCUUGCACUUGGAUGGACUGAGUGGCGGACGGGUGAGUAACGCGUGGGUAACCUGCCUUAUACAGGGGGAUAACAGUUGGAAACGACUGCUAAUACCGCAUAAGCGCACGGUAUCGCAUGAUACAGUGUGAAAAACUCCGGUGGUAUAAGAUGGACCCGCGUCUGAUUAGCUUGUUGGUGAGGUAACGGCCCACCAAGGCGACGAUCAGUAGCCGGCCUGAGAGGGUGAACGGCCACAUUGGGACUGAGACACGGCCCAAACUCCUACGGGAGCAGCAGUGGGGAAUAUUGCACAAUGGGCGCAAGCCUGACCCAGCAACGCCGCGUGAAGGAAGAAGGCUUUCGGGUUGUAAACUUCUUUAAGUAGGGAAGAGCAGAAGACGGUACCUCUAGAAUAAGCCACGGCUAACUACGUG
rnacentral:rRNA from 1 species